CAAGAAAGCAUCAGCAUGGUCAGAAUAGCUUUUAUAGUUUUAGCAUUGGCGGUUUUCUCCUUUGCUGCACCAGGAGAAAGAAUAAGAAGAUUCGAACACGAUCCAAGUUUAGGUGGCUAUGGGAAUUACGGUGGCUACGGACACGUUCCGGGCCACGGAUACGGACCGGUGUUGCCGCUGAACUCACAUUCGUACUCAAAAUCCUCAGCAAGCGCGAGCUCCGUAUCUAGCGGAGGAAAUAUCGCUGGAUGAGAGGAAAUGGAAUAAAAAUCAACAAAGAUGACAACGGAUAAUGACCACAAGUUAAUCACGAAGAUAUUGUAUAUUAUUUAAUCUACUACUUAAA